AGAGGCUUAGGAUAACUUUAGACCAAGGGCCUUCAAAGCCCUAAGCGGGAGUUAAAAUCUCCCAGCCCCUG
rnacentral:tRNA from 1 species